GGCAGGGAAGAUAUAAACAACAGGGUUGAGUUUUGAAUCAGAACCAACUCUCAAUAUGGAAUUGUUAUCAGAUAAUUACUAUUUGAUGAUACUUUCAAAGUUCUGAUGUAGAAACUGAUUCCUAUGUAUUAUUCAUGCCUAGAUAUCAAGCACUGUGCUUGUUACUAUUGAUUAAAGAUACUGAGAUAAGCUCAUCUAGUAGAAAGAGAAACUCACUAAUAAAUGAUAAUUUGGCAUGAUUGAUUUAUAUGAUUCCUGGGUAGGCAGCUGGUGUUUG
rnacentral:lncRNA from 1 species